GCGAUGAUGAGUCUUCCAUGUUUGACAACAAGAUAAGAUGAAAUGUCAACUUGUCCUCUAAGAAGUACUGAGCAG